rnacentral:rRNA from 1 species
CUACGGGACGCACCAGUGGGGAAUAUUGGACAAUGGGCGCAAGCCUGAUCCAGCGAUGCCGCGUGAGUGAAGACGGCCUUAGGGUUGUAAAACUCUUUCGCUAGGGAAGAUAAUGACUGUACCUAGUAAAGAAGUCCCGGCUAACUCCGUGCCAGCAGCCGCGGUAAUACGGAGGGGACUAGCGUUGUUCGGAAUUACUGGGCGUAAAGAGUUCGUAGGCGGACUGACAAGUUAGAGGUGAAAUCCCAGGGCUCAACCCUGGAACUGCCUUUAAAACUGUCAGUCUAGAGACCGGAAGAGGUUAGGGGAAUACCUAGUGUAGAGGUGAAAUUCGUAGAUAUUAGAUGGAACACCAGUGGCGAAGGCGCCUAACUGGUCCGGUACUGACGCUGAGGAACGAAAGCGUGGGGAGCAAACAGGAUUAGAUACCCUUGUAGUC